rnacentral:rRNA from 1 species
CAGCCGCCGCGGUAAUACGAAGGGGGCUAGCGUUGCUCGGAAUGACUGGGCGUAAAGGGCGCGUAGGCGGCGAUCAAAGUCAGGCGUGAAAUUCCUGGGCUCAACCUGGGGGCUGCGUUUGAUUCUUGAUUGCUAGAGUGGGGAAGAGGGUCGUGGAAUUCCCAGUGUAGAGGUGAAAUUCGUAGAUAUUGGGAAGAACACCGGUGGCGAAGGCGGCGACCUGGUCCUUGACUGACGCUGAGGCGCGAAAGCGUGGGGAGCAAACAGGAUUAGAUACCCGUGUAGUCCCUGUCUCUUAUAC